UAGACAAGAAUGUGUUCCACGGCAGAGAACCGUUAGGAAGAAGAUAAAAUAAAUCAAGAAGCAUGUGAAGAGAACAAUUUCGCGGCUAGAAGCGGUGAAGAAACGGCAAAGAAAGACAGGCUUUUAGAGAGAGAGAGAAUCUUGAAGGAGAGGGAAAGUUUUCUGUGGGUUUCUCUUUUUGGGCUUUCAACUUCUAGGUAAAGAGAGGAAAAAUCGAGAGGCGGAAAAGGAAAUGUAACGCAGAGAGAAAAACUUUGGGGUUCCGAGAGCUAGGGUACGAAACAGAGAGACCUGAGUGGAGGAACUCCGAAGUACUUCGCUGUCUUCCGCCUGGGUGUCCAUUAGAUUUUGUAUAGCUUCACCAGAUUAUAUAAUUUUCUAAGAUCAGUGAGGAUGAAAGAAAGAUUAACCAAAGAGAGCAGUUUCCUGCUUUCGGUUUUCCAAUCUGGAGAUGAAGGCAUGAUCAUUUGGAAACAGAGAGACCUGAAUGGAGGAACUCCGAAGUACUUCGCUGUCUUCCGCCUGGGUGUCCAUUAGCUUCAUCCAAAGUGUGCCUCAGGUUACAUCUGUGAGUUGUUAGCAUUGUACUACUGUGCAAGUUUCGAGUAUUAUCAUGCAGAAUGUAGGGGCGAUCUUGAGAUUUAGAGGUAAACUAUAUGGUAAUGCGCAAGUAUUUAUUCCCACAAAAUGGUUGCUGUUACUAGAAUGCAGGCAUCAAGAUAAGGUCAAUUUAUGGUUAUUAAUCGAACUAUAGGUAAUCAUCGGUCUUAUUUCAUAGUCAUAACUAACAUCAUCUAGCUGAAUAGUUAAAAUAUCAAAUUGUGUUUCAUACUAUCACUUAAAACUUUAGUUAUUUAUUCCUUUCUGACUAGUACCAUUAUUUUACACAUAAUAGUUUUGAAGUACUAGAGUAACAAAUGACCGAAAUUUUUUUACUUCUCAUGCUUUUACCUAUUUUUUGCUAUUAGCAUAUAUGCUUGCUGUCAUAUGGAUUAUUAUCGGGUUGAAACUAUCAAAAUUAGGUAAAUGCAAG